GAUGAACGCUGGCGGCGUGCUUAACACAUGCAAGUCGAACGGAAAGGCGCGGCUUUUGUUGCUUUCUCGAUUGGCGAGCGGGUGAGUAUCACGUGAGUAUCCUGCCCUUGUCUGUGUGAGAACUUCAGGGAACUGGGGCGAAUACCGGGUAGGAUCUCCUGCUGCAUGGGGGGGGUUGGUAAGUUUCGGCGGUUGUGGAUGGACUCGCUGGUUAUGAGCUUGUUUGUGAGGUAGGUGCUUACCAAGUGUUUGACGGGUAGCCGGCAUGGGAGGGUGACCGGCGACAUUGCGACUACGAUACGCACCAGAAGCCUACCGGAGGCAGCAGUGGGGAAUAUUGCGCAAUGGGCCGAAGCCUGAUGCAGAGAUGCCGCGUGCGGGAAGCCCGGUUUCGGGUUGUAAACCACUUUCGACUGAGCUGAGGAGUGCGUGACGGUACCGAGUCAAAAAGCCACGGCUAACUACGUG
rnacentral:rRNA from 1 species